AUUGAACGCUGGCGGCAUGCCUUACACAUGCAAGUCGAACGGGGUUGGGAGCUUGCUUCCAACUUAGUGGCGAACGGGUGAGUAAAGCAUCGGAACGUACCCAGAAGUGGGGGAUAACGUAGCGAAAGUUACGCUAAUACCGCAUAUUCUCUGAGGAGGAAAGCAGGGGCUCGCAAGACCUUGUGCUUUUGGAGCGGCCGAUGUCGGAUUAGCUAGUUGGCGGGGUAAAGGCCCACCAAGGCGACGAUCCGUAGCUGGUCUGAGCGGAUGAUCAGCCACACUGGGAGUGAGACACGGCCCAGACUCCUACGGGAGGCAGCAGUGGGGAAUUUUGGACAAUGGGCGCAAGCCUGAGACAGCCAUGCCGCGUGAGUGAAGAAGGCCUUCGGGUUGAAAAGCUCUUUCGCGAGGGAAGAAAAUGUACGGGUUAAUACCCUGUGCAGAUGACGGUACCUUGAUAAGAAGCACCGGCUAACUACGUGCCAGCCGCCGCAGUAAGAC
rnacentral:rRNA from 1 species